rnacentral:rRNA from 1 species
CCUACGGGAGGCAGCAGUGAGGAAUAUUGGUCAAUGGACGAGAGUCUGAACCAGCCAAGUAGCGUGAAGGAUGACUGCCCUAUGGGUUGUAAACUUCUUUUAUAUGGGAAUAACAUGUUCCACGUGUGGGCUUUUGUAUGUACCAUAUGAAUAAGGAUCGGCUAACUCCGUGCCAGCAGCCGCGGUAACACGGAGGAUCCGAGCGUUAUCCGGAUUUAUUGGGUUUAAAGGGAGCGUAGGUGGAUUGUUAAGUCAGUUGUGAAAGUUUGCGGCUCAACCGUAAAAUUGCAGUUGAAACUGGCAGUCUUGAGUACAGUAGAGGUGGGCGGAAUUCGUGGUGUAGCGGUGAAAUGCUUAGAUAUCACGAAGAACUCCGAUUGCGAAGGCAGCUCACUGGACUGCAACUGACACUGAGGCUCGAAAGUGUGGGUAUCAAACAGGAUUAGAUACCCUAGUAGUC